rnacentral:rRNA from 1 species
GUAUCAUGGCUCAGGAUGAACGCUGGCGGCGUGCCUAACACAUGCAAGUCGAACGAGGUAAAUAAGAGGAAGUUUUCGGAUGGAAUCGUAUUUACCGAGUGGUGGACGGGUGAGUAACGCGUGGAUAACCUGCCUCAUACAGGGGGAUAACGAGUUAGAAAUGACUGCUAAUACCGCAUAAGCGCACAGUACCGCAUGGUACGGUGUGAAAAACUCCGGUGGUAUGAGAUGGAUCCGCGU